CGGCUGUGUGUUACCAGUUUACGGACACUACCAGCUUACAGUCAAGAGUCACACUGUGGAUCAGAUGUCCCACCAGGUACCAGAGAGCUGCAGAGACCUGGGAGUCCUCAUUUUGCUGAUGGGGAACUACGCUCGUAAUCUGCUCAGCAACAGCAUGGCGAUUCGUGGAGUCAGAGGACAAACAUUGGGGUCAGAGGACUUGGGCCAAUCAUGGACUGACCUACACUUUUGUUUAAUUGUUUUAUGACAUGACGAUGUAUACUAAAACACUGGGUCAGGGAGAGAUAGCCAGUCAGACUUCAUGAACUGAUACAGCUUGUUGUUUGUCAGGGAAAGGAAGAUCGACCCAGAGCUCUGUAAGCUUUAUUCAUUUACU